AUGACAGAAUCUCAAAACAUGGAAGUAUUAUCUCUAAACAAACACUGUAAUAACAUCAAACUCAAAGCAAAAAUCCUCCUCCUCCCUCGCUCCCGUGCGGCUGCACCGGGGCGCCCAAACUCCGGCCGCCUAGGGGCCCUCGUUCUCCUCCUCUCCCCUCACCGCCGCCGAAGGGCAUCGCCGGGCAAAGCCCGAGCGGCGUCGGCGGCGGUGGGGCUGUAUGGUGGCGUGGUUCGAGCGGAUCUUGAGGUCCUGUCUGACUUCAAUGGUGGUGUGCGGCGGCGGGAGUGGGGCUCAGCGAAGAAGUGGGGUGGCGGCCGUGGCUCGCGGAGGUGCUGA
rnacentral:rRNA from 1 species